AAGAUGAUAAGGGGGUUGUGAUGUAAAGCAGAGGUGAAGGUGACACUUGAGUGAAGACCCAAAUGAAGUAAGAAAGAGAGACCCAUGGAAAACUGGCAGAAGAGUGUUUCAGGCAGGUGGACCAUCAAGCGCAAAGCCUUGCGGGAGGAAGACGCCAUCCCAUUGCAGGAAUAACAAGGAGCCAGCAUGGCUGAAGCAGAGAAAGCACGGGGACAUGUGAUAGCAGAUGAAUUCAAGAAUGGUAAUGAGGAUCAGAUAUUAUAAACCUUCGGGCCAUGAUGAGGACUUUGAUGGAAAACGACUCUCCCAGAAGCAUGACAGAUGAGAAAAUUUGAGAGGUGCCUCCUUAAAGAUGCAGAGAAUUAUUAUAAGAGCAACUGUGGGAACCAUCUUCUAAAAAUUGGGAUAACUACGGACAUAUUGGGAAGAUCAAAAUAAAGCACUUCAACAAUUAUCAGGUUCUUGCUCUGGUGACGAUAACUACAGACAUGAAGGACAGAGACACAACUUUGAGACAUACUGGAACUUUGGGAACAAGACUGAUGAGCAAAGUUCCGAGUCAAAACGCCAGGAGGAACAUGAAGAACUGGAAAUGAGGUGUGAGACCUCCUUUCAACAUUUCUUGUAAGGCAGGUCUAAUGGUGAUGAACUCUCUGCUUUUAUUUGUCUGGGAAAGCCUUCUUUUUCCUUCAUAUCUGAAAGUCUAGAUAUUUCAGCUUUCAUCAAAAACCAACACUGAAGAACCGUGAAAGAAACUGGCAACUUCCACCCACUGAUGCUACAGAGAGAAACACGCAGGCGUGGUCUCAGUAAAAGUAGCCACACGUGGAAAGCAAUAGCACCUAGGAUAUUUAACUCUGAAAGAAAUUUACAACAUACAUAGCAGAAACAUCACAUAUGUAUUGGCUAUGUCUGUGCACAUAAUGUGUGCUUGUCUGUGUGGAGGUACACGCUGGUACACGUAUAUGUUCUAUUUCAUUUGUACGAUGGGAAAUCCUUCUAACUGUGCAAAUCAGAGAGUCAGUCUGCUAAGCAGUAUGGGAAGGUAGCGAGAAUACUCUACCUUCUUUGCUGGAGAUCAGACCCAAAAGAGAUGUGCUUGUUCUACUUUAGGAAACAAAUACCAGCUACUGUGUUUCAGUCCCUGCUAAUUUUCUGUCUCCUAACUGCUGCCUCACGACUCUAUCUGCUGCUGAACUUGACCUCUGAGCCCAGCCUGCUCUUCAUCUUUGCUAGAUUUUUUCCAUGUUUUAUAAGCAGGCUUUACCUUGUUUUCUCUCAUUCAUACAUGGUCUUAUUCUCUUCCCCAUUUGGCUUUCAUUUCCUUAGCAUUUUGUCCCUGUGCAUCCGGGAUUUGGCAUUUUUAUUGUAACAGCGAACUGAUUUUGUGUUGAAGAAAUAAAGGGUAUAUUUAGGGAAUACUCUUAAAAGUGGAAUUGAUUUGUCAUACAGUAGGUAACUCUAUGUUUAGCUCAUUGGAGGAACCACUAAACUGUUUUUCAGACAACUAUGCCAUUUCACAUUCCCCUAGCAGUAUAUGAGGGCUCCAAUUUCUCCAUAUCCUCACUAACACUUGUUUGUGUCUGACUUUUUGAUUCUAGCCAUCAUAAGGGGUGUAAAUUGGUAUUUCAUUGUGGUUUGGAUUCAAAUUUCCCUGAUGGCUAAUAAUGUUGAAUAUCUUUUUGUGUGCUUAUUGGAAAUUUGUAUAUCUUUUCAAAGAAAUGUCUAUUCCGAUGCUUUGCCCAUUUUUAAAUUAGUUUAUUUGCUUUUUUAUUAUUGUGAUGUAAGAACAUGUGUAUUUACAUGUUCUGAAUACAAGUUGUUUCUCAGAUAUGUGAUUUGCAAAUAUUGUCUCUCAUUUUGUGUUUUGCGUUUUCGCUUUCUUGGUGGUGUCCUUUGGAGCACAAAAGUUUUUAAUUUCGAUGAAGUCCAACUUACCUGUUGUUUUUCUUUCAUCACUGUGGUUUUCGUGUUGUUUCUAAGAAAGCUUUGCCUAACUCAAGAUCACAAAGAUUUACUCCUUAGAGUAAGAUUUCUUCAAAACUUUGAUCCAUUUGGAGUCAAUUUUUGUUUAUAGUGUUAGGUAGAGUUUCAAUUUUUGGUCUUUCACAUGUGGAUAUCCAGUUGUUCUGGCACUAUUUGUUGAAAAGAAGUGGAUUUCAAUUCAACUGAAUUGUCUCAGCACUCUAGCACCAAUAUAGUUUUAAUAAUAGCAGGAUAUAUUCAUUAGAGCUAGCAAAAAAGUAUUCUUGACCUGCACAGUGACAUCAAGUCCCUAAUUCCUUUCUUCUCUUUCAAUUAUUAUCGCUAUGAACCUAGGACUUUCAAAACCAGAAUGCAAAUUGCUUUAUCAAUAAAUACUUUUGGAAUGAAGCUCUCAAGUAAAGAACAAAAAACUUCACUGGCCUUUUAAAUUUUCUCUUUGCUCUUGAAUCCAAAAUGAAGGCAGUCUCUCAUUUAGCAGCUUGUUAAGUAGUCUAAUGCAUAAACACUUAAGUGUUUGAUUGUAUAACAUCAUCUCUAUGAUUUAGUUCCAUUAUGUCCACAUCAACUGAAUGCAGAAUAAAUGUGAUGAAUGUCUUCUCAGAUGUUCAGCUUUAACAAAUGGGACUCAUUUCUCGCUACUACUGAAGCCACCAUUGCUUGAUACGGUUCAUGUAUUAUGUUCCAUUUGUGGCACAUGAACAACAUCUAUUUGCAGAGAUUCACCCAUAACCAUGAGAAAUAUCGUGAACUAUAGUUCAGUGUAUCAAGUUGUUUUCUUCAGGAUCUUUUGGCCAACUUACGUAUAACUCUUUUCCAAAUAAAAAUAUUUGUUGUUUUUGGAAUUACUGUUGGGGUUAAUGAAUAUCCUUUUUGGCAUCACUGAGACAAUAAGUGUUAGAGUACAAAUUAAAAUUGUAUUCCCUGGGGAUUUUUAUUCUUUGGAUCAAUAGGUAAAAGAAAAGAUGUCUAAAAACAAGCCAAUUGAAAAAUUAUUCAACUCUUAAAAGAAAACAUAGGGUAAAAGCUUCAUGACAUUGGAUACGGCAAUGAUUUCUUGGGUAUGACUCCAAAAGCACAGGCAA
ensembl:lncRNA